rnacentral:rRNA from 1 species
UAGGGAAUCUUCCGCAAUGGACGCAAGUCUGACGGAGCAACGCCGCGUGAGUGAAGACGGAUUUCGGUUCGUAAAACUCUGUUGUUAGAGAAGAACAGCGCAUAGAGUAACUGUUAUGCGUGUGACGGUAUCUAACCAGAAAGCCACGGCUAACUACGUGCCAGCAGCCGCGGUAAUACGUAGGUGGCAAGCGUUGUCCGGAUUUAUUGGGCGUAAAGCGAGCGCAGGCGGUCAAUUAAGUCUGAUGUGAAAGCCCCCGGCUCAACCGUGGAGGGUCAUUGGAAACUGGAAAACUUUAGUGCAGAAGAGGAAAGUGGAAUUCCAUGUGUAGCAGUAAAAUGCGCAGAGAUAUGGAGGAACACCAGUGGCGAAGGCGACUUACUUGUCUGUAACUGACGCUGAUGUGCAAAAGCGUGGGGAUCAAACAGA